AGCCUGGAUGCAGUCGUCCUGUAAGGAAUCCGAAAUUUACAGCAGAAGAAUUGCACUUUAACACUGAAAAAGUUCUUCCUCAUCUGAACUGUCAUUCAAAAGGCAGGAUGAAAGUAGCCGAAAAGGUUUUCUAUCAUAUUGUCUGCAGGCCUCCUAGAAGAUUCUUCUGAACCUUGGGCUUAUCUGUCUCAGGCUGCCCCUAAAAAGAUGAAGUAGUAAUCUGGCAAAAUGAACUCAAGACACACAAAGAGGAGACAUUCGAGACUGAUCUGCAAGGAGUUCAGAUUCACUGAUAACAUGCAAACCAGAGUCUUCUUACUGCUGUCUGUUCCCGAUACGAUGUCAAAGCAAACAAAGGAGACUUAGAAGUAAUGUGACUCAAAUACAAGUGUUUUGAAAGAAUGACUUACUGGGGAACCAAGUUAGAAGAUGAAGGAAGUGAAGAUUGGUCAUCUAUGCAGAGGAAAUUACAAGGUACACAUAGC